CUAGAAAUGGCCGGUCCAAUUGCCAGUCUCCGCUGGAGGGAUUGGGGGCGGGGAGGGAACAUUAGGGCAAUCGCGGGCAGAUGCUUGCCCUGGUUGGGGCUAAUGGAGGAUGACAUCUUUCCUACUUUCCUAAAACUUUUGUUUUGUAUUUUAAAAGUAAACAAUAUGCCCCAGCCAGAGAGAAACCACGCUGAGCAAAAGACAAAGUCACGUGACUAGCCUGGUCUUCCCGGCCGGGAAGCAGCAGGAGAGUGAUUCCUAUCAGAGGGAGCCAGCUGGUGCCUUGCUUUCUCAGGAUCUCACGGUUUUCUUUCUAGUUUUCAUAUUUAUUAUCAUUACCAUUACCAUUAUUGUUACAGUACUGAGAAUUGAUUGAACAUCAGGCCCUAGGAAAGCUAAUCAGGCACCCCACCCGGGGACUAUAGCCUCUUUUUACUUCUUAUUAUUUGGGGGCAGGAUUUACCGAGAUGUCCAGGAUGGCUUUGAACUUGUGACCUUCCUGCCUCAGCCUCCUGAAUAGCUGGGUUUACAGGCUUGUGUCAUCAGCUCCUGCGUCCAGGAUCCACCUUGUAAAAUCACUUCUGG
rnacentral:lncRNA from 1 species